AAGAACGCCGGCGGCGUGCCUAACACAUGCAAGUCGAGCGCGAAUGGAGCAAUCCUAGUAGAGCGGCGCACGGGUGAGUAACACGUGGGUAAUCUGCCUGGAAGAUCGGGACAACCUGCCGAAAGGCUGGCUAAUACCGGAUAAGCCCACGGGGUCCUCGGACCUCGAGGGAAAAGAUGGCCUCUGCAUGCAAGCUAUCACUUCCAGAUGAGCCCGCGGCCCAUCAGCUAGUUGGCGGGGUAAUGGCCCACCAAGGCUACGACGGGUAGCUGGUCUGAGAGGACGAUCAGCCACACUGGAACUGAGACACGGUCCAGACUCCUACGGGAGGCAGCAGUGGGGAAUUUUGCGCAAUGGGCGAAAGCCUGACGCAGCAACGCCGCGUGUGUGAUGAAGGUCUUCGGAUCGUAAAGCACUUUCGACCGGGACGAAAACCCGCUGGCUAACAUCCAGCGGUUUGACGGUACCGGGAGAAGAAGC
rnacentral:rRNA from 1 species